AUUGAACGCUGGCGGCAGGCCUAAUACAUGCAAGUCGAACGGUGUCUUCGGACAUAGUGGCGCACGGGUGCGUAACACGUAUGCAACCUACCUUACAUUGGGGGAUAGCCUUUCGAAAGGGAGCUUAAUACCGCAUAAGACAGUAGCUGGGCAUCCAGCAGCUGUUAAAGAUUUAUCGAUGUAAGCUGGGCAUGCGUUCAAUUAGCUAGUUGGUGAGGUAACGGCUCACCAAGGCAAUGAUUGGUAGGGGAACUGAGAGGUCAAUCCCCCACACCGGCACUGAGAUACGGGCCAGACUCCUACGGGAGGCAGCAGUAGGGAAUAUUGGGCAAUGGACGCAAGUCUGACCCAGCCAUGCCGCGUGCAGGAUGAAGGCGUUAUGCGUUGUAAACUGCUUUUAUACAGGAAGAAACGACUCUUGCGAGAGGCAUUGACGGUACUGUAUGAAUAAGCACCGGCUAACUCCGUGCCAGCCGCCGCAGUAAAAC
rnacentral:rRNA from 1 species